UACGUAGGGUGCAAGCGUUAAUCGGAAUUACUGGGCGUAAAGCGUGCGCAGGCGGUCUGUUAAGACCGAUGUGAAAUCCCCGGGCUUAACCUGGGAACUGCAUUGGUGACUGGCAGGCUUUGAGUGUGGCAGAGGGGGGUAGAAUUCCACGUGUAGCAGUGAAAUGCGUAGAGAUGUGGAGGAAUACCGAUGGCGAAGGCAGCCCCCUGGGCCAACACUGACGCUCAUGCACGAAAGCGUGGGGAGCAAACAGG
rnacentral:rRNA from 1 species